UCUCUUUCAAGGGUGCGAGGAACAAUGCGCAGGAUGGAGACUCCACUUACACGGGUCUUAUCCUGGAGUAUCGAUCUGUUUACCGUGAUCUGAACAGCUGACGUCACUGUGAACGGAAGCCGAUGAUUGGAUCGUGAAUUGGCACAGAGAAUGGACAACCAUCCAGGAUAAAUCCACCGUUCAAAAUGGCUUUUUUUUUCUUUGUAAUCGUUCUCCAGGUCUCUAUUAAACCUAUUCCGCGUUUCCUAGCCUCACGACAAAGACAUCACAGAAGAUUCUGUCUCGUUUCCGUCGCAGCAGCUUAGUUCUCUCGCAUCAACCCAGACUGGUGCUGUGGCGUUUCAGGGGAUUUCCAUAAAAUGACCGCUGUUCGAAUCCCUAUCCCGGUCGUACUCUAUUCUCAACACGUGAUCAGUUGUGUUUGAGCUGCAA